rnacentral:rRNA from 1 species
CCGUCCGACAAGGCCGCAGGGCCGGACGGCUUCCUGGCGCCAUUUUUCAGAGCAUGCUGGGGCACACUCAAAUCUGACGUCAUGGCAGUCUUCGACCAUUUCUACAGACUUGCCGAGGGCAAUUUCUCAGACCUAAAUUCUGCCAUGAUCGCUCUGCUACCAAAAAAGGAUGGUGCCACCUGCAUGGGAGAUUUUCACCCGAUCAGCCUCAUACACUCCAUCGCCAAGCUCAUUACCAAGGUGCUCUCGAUGCGACUGGUGACCGUCAUCAGCAUGAUCAUCUCCCCCGCGCAGUCUGCUUUUCAGAGAUCCAAGUGCAUACACGAUAGUUUCCUUUUCGUCCAAAACAGAGUUCGUGCCUUGCACCGCCGCAAGACCCCUGCUUUACUCCUCAAGUUAGAUAUUGCGAAAGCGUACGACAACGUUUCCUGGGAAUACAUCUUCGAGCUACUGCAGAAAAUGGAUUUCCCGCCAAGAUGGAGGGAUUGGAUCGCCCUGCUCCUUGCAACCUCCUCGUCAUCCUGCCUACUAAAUGGCAUCCCAGGGGACAGGAUUGUGCACCUCCGCGGCCUCUGUUAG